rnacentral:rRNA from 1 species
GGGGAGUACGGCCGCAAGGCUGAACUCAAAGGAAUUGACGGGGACCCGCACAAGCGGUGGAGCAUGUGGUUUAAUUCGAAGCAACGCGAAGAACCUUACCAGGUCUUGACAUCCCGCUGACCGGUGUAGAGAUACAUCUUUCCCUUCGGGGACAGCGGUGACAGGUGGUGCAUGGUUGUCGUCAGCUCGUGUCGUGAGAUGUUGGGUUAAGUCCCGCAACGAGCGCAACCCUUGAUCUUAGUUGCCAGCAUUCAGUUGGGCACUCUAAGGUGACUGCCGGUGACAAACCGGAGGAAGGUGGGGAUGACGUCAAAUCAUCAUGCCCCUUAUGACCUGGGCUACACACGUGCUACAAUGGACGGUACAAAGGGCUGCGAACCCGCGAGGGGGAGCCAAUCCCAUAAAACCGUUCCCAGUUCGGAUUGCAGGCUGCAACUCGCCUGCAUGAAGCCGGAAUCGCUAGUAAUCGUGGAUCAGCAUGCCACGGUGAAUACGUUCCCGGGUCUUGUACACACCGCCCGUCACACCACGAGAGUUUGUAACACCCGAAGUCGGUGGGGUAACCCUUACGGGAGCCAGCCGCCGAAGGUGGGACAGAUGAUU